GAUGAACGCUGGCGGCGUGCCUAAUACAUGCAAGUCGAGCGAACAGAUGAGGAGCUUGCUCCUCUGACGUUAGCGGCGGACGGGUGAGUAACACGUGGAUAACCUCCCUAUAAGACUGGGAUAACUUCGGGAAACCGGAGCUAAUACCGGAUAAUCUAUUGAACCGCAUGGUUCAAUAGUGAAAGACGGUUUUGCUGUCACUUAUAGAUGGAUCCGCGCCGCAUUAGCUAGUUGGUAAGGUGAAGGCUUACCAAGGGAACGAUGCGUAGCCGACCUGAGAGGGUGAUCGGCCACACUGGAACGGAGACACGGUCCAGACUCCUACGGGAGGCAGCAGUAGGGAAUCUUCCGCAAUGGGCGAAAGCCUGACGGAGCAACGCCGCGUGAGUGAUGAAGGUCUUCGGAUCGUAAAACUCUGUUAUUAGGGAAGAACAAAUGUGUAAGUAACUAUGCACGUCUUGACGGUACCUAAUCAGAAAGCCACGGCUAACUACGUG
rnacentral:rRNA from 1 species